rnacentral:rRNA from 1 species
UUGCACGCUGGCGGCAGGCCUAACACAUGCAAGUCGCGCGGAUGAAGGGAGCUUGCUCCUGGAUUCAGCGGCGGACGGGUGAGUAAUGCCUAGGAAUCUGCCUGGUAGUGGGGGAUAACGUCCGGAAACGGGCGCUAAUACCGCAUACGUCCUGAGGGAGAAAGUGGGGGAUCUUCGGACCUCACGCUAUCAGAUGAGCCUAGGUCGGAUUAGCUAGUUGGUGGGGUAAAGGCCUACCAAGGCGACGAUCCGUAACUGGUCUGAGAGGAUGAUCAGUCACACUGGAACUGAGACACGGUCCAGACUCCUACGGGAGGCAGCAGUGGGGAAUAUUGGACAAUGGGCGAAAGCCUGAUCUAGCCAUGCCGCGUGUGUGAAGAAGGUCUUCGGAUUGUAAAGCACUUUAAGUUGGGAGGAAGGGCAGUAAGUUAAUACCUUGCUGUUUUGACGUUACCAACAGAAUAAGCACCGGCUAACUUCGUG